UUACAAUGUCCGUUCACCUGGUUGCCGA
rnacentral:sRNA from 1 species